rnacentral:rRNA from 1 species
UACGUAGGGUGCAAGCGUUGUCCGGAAUUAUUGGGCGUAAAGAGCUCGUAGGCGGUCUGUCGCGUCGGAUGUGAAACCCAGGGCUCAACCCUGGGCCUGCAUUCGAUACGGGCAGACUAGAGUUCGGUAGGGGAGACUGGAAUUCCUGGUGUAGCGGUGAAAUGCGCAGAUAUCAGGAGGAACACCGGUGGCGAAGGCGGGUCUCUGGGCCGAAACUGACGCUGAGGAGCGAAAGCGUGGGGAGCAAACAGG